CUGAGCUGAAACCAAGAGUUGGAUGCUCAACCGACUGAGCCUCCGAGGCACCCCAGUCUUGCUUAUUUUGAGGAUGUGAGGGUAUAGAUAACCUAGUAGGGUACUUGAUGAGGAUAUAGGUCAAGGAAUGUUGCUGUCUCUCUUCCUCAUGCUCCUCUGUCUCUCCAGAAAGCAAUCUGCUGGCCAGCCUGCCUCCCGAGUGCGGUCCUCACCAUCGGUGGUGACAGCCGCUGCUGUUAGCUGUGAACUGUGAACUGUGAACCCCAGCGCUGGGCUGUUGGGCCAAAGGGAGUGCCUGAUGGGCAUCUGUCAUCUGCAGAAGGCUUCUGGAGGCUGGCUUCCUCACCGUGGCCACGAGUCUUCAUUUCACAACCUUUCUCAAGUGAUGCAUUUCAGGGCACGCUUUCAAAAUUAUUCCAUCAGAAGAUUUCUGGGUCCACAGAUGACUGUAGAUCUGGACAUCUCUUCCCCUAGGUAUGUUGCCUUUCAUAUCAUUGACAUGUUCCUUUUCUCGCCCCUGUUAGCACUCUCAUCUCAGUUCUAGGGCAGAGCAGGUCUUUGUCAAGGGGAAGAGGGAUGAGUAUUGAUUCCCAGCACUGGUAGCCUUGCCUGGCCAUGCCCAUUCCUACCUCGUGUAACAAGUCCUCCUUUUUCUUUGUGGCUCUGUGCUCUUCUUCAAAGUGUGCUCCUGAGGCCUUCCUAUCUUUGAGCUCAUGGAGGGGUGAGGUCUUUCUCUGGGUCUGCGUCCGAACCCAUGGUCCAGCCUGGUCUUGACCAGCAGCCAGUCUGUGACCAGAGAGGGUGAAGGGGGACCCCUGUUCAGGGAUCCUGGAACCACACCCUAGCAACCGUUGUCUUGAGACUGUCUGGCCUCAAGGAGCUGUCUAGCAAGUAGGGGAAAGAUCAGAGAUAAAUAACUGGUACCCUGUGAUGACUGCUGCCAUGAAAGUGGGCACGAAGCCAGAGCUGGCACAAAGGAGGAAGGAGUCUGUAUCUCUCAGCAGAAGCCAGCACGGGCUCUAGAAGAGGUGACAUUUAGAUUAAGUUCCCAUGCACCAGCCUGGUGGGGAGGGACAGUCCAGGCAUAGUGAAUCCCUAGAAACACUUCUUGGGUUCUCCAAAGAUCCUCUCCUCAACAGUCUCUCCUCCUACAACCUUAGAGAUACCUUGAUUAAUGGUGGUUUCCUCGGCGUCCCUGGUAGAACCAGGGGGAAGGACAAAGCGUGGCACUCAAUAUGGAAACAGCUAGCAUCAAGGUCCCAAAAAUUCUCACUCAAGGUAGCCAUUUACAAAUCUCUUCCGGGUUGCUGUCUGACGGUGCUGUUCAUCCUUCCAAGCUGGAUCUGUUCAUAACAGUGGAAAUACAAAAAAAUAGAAAAUAUCUGAUUUCAAUACAGUGCAUUGAGUGUUGACCCUAUAGUAGUUAGGAAGGCCGACUGUGUCACUUACUAGUUCUGCGACCUUGAGCAAUGACUUCACCCUUUCUGCCUCAGUGUUCUCAUCUGUAAAAUAGGGGCAAUGUUGGAAGCAACCUCACAAAGUUGCUAGGAGGAGUAGUGGGUGUGUCUUAAUAAAAAAUGUAUAUUUGUUCUUUGUCCCAGUUCUUGACACAGAACUCCUAAAUCCCUUGGGAUUUCCUAGGUUAUAGGAGGAUUUUUUUGUUCUGUGGUGACUCUUAGUGGACCUCUAGAUAGCUUCAGGAUGUGGUCUGGUCACCAGAAAGAUCAAGCCUUAUUUAGAAACCUAACACUUUCUGCCCAACUCUCUGACUCUUGGAGAGAGAGGCUGGAGGUUGAGUGAAUGAGCAAUGGCCAGUGACUUAAUCAAUUAUACCUACAGAAUGAAACCACUGUAAGAACCCCUAAAUUGGGGGUUUGGAGAGCUUCUGGGUUGCUGGGAGGUUGGCACAGAAACUCUGUGCCCUUUCCCCCACAUCCAUCCCUCCCAGGGGCUCCUCCAUUCGGUUGGUCCUGAGCUGUAUCCUUUAUAAUAAACUGACAACAAGUACUUUCCUGAGUCCUGUGGGUUGUUCAAGCAAAUGAUCAAACUUGCGGAUAGGGCUGUGAUCUGAGUCUACAGCUGGCCAGUGACAACAUGGGAUUUGCAACUGGCAUUUGAAGUGGGGGAGUCUUAGGGGACUGAGCCCUUCACCUGUGGGAUUUGAUGCUAUCAGGUGGUUAGAUAGGGUCAGGAGAGAUUGAAUUGGAGGACAUCCAGGUGGAACCUGGGGAACUGGAGGACUUGGUUUUGGUGUGGAAAAAACCUAGAAGUGUUGUGAGUAGAAACAGCACAGAGUGGGUUUAUUUGGCAAACAGAAUAAUGUCCCUGCAUGGUGUGGAUACUCUCAAACCGAGAGCCUGUGAGUCUGUCACUUUUCCUGGCAAAAGAGACUUUGCAGCUGUGAUUAAGCAUCUCGGGAUAGGAAGAUCCUCAAGCGUACCCAAGUGGGCCCCAUGUAAUCACAAGGGUUAUAUACAAGUCGGAGGCAGAAGAGCCAGGGGACGGAGAAAGGGCCACAGUCAAGGAAUGCAGGAAGCUUCUAGAAGCAAGGAGCAGAUUCACUCGUUGAGCCUCCAACAGGAUCACGACCCAGCUGCCACCUCGAUUUUCACCCCGUGAGACAAAUUUGGAACUUCUGACCACCAGAACUGUAAGGUAAUAAAUUUGUGUUGUUUUAAGCCACUAAGUUUGUAGUGAUUUGUUACAGCAGGAUUGGAAAGCUCAAUCGAUGCUUGUAAAGUGCUCAGAACAGAGCCUGGCAGUUGGGGAAUGCUCCCUAAGGUUGCCUAUUAUUGUCGUGAUUUCUUGCCACCAAGUUCUAGGUUAGACUCAGCGUUGCUCUCGUGUUGAAGGGAAACAACAAUGACCUCACCCACCAUCAGCAGCAAGUUCCUGACAUCCUGAAGUUUACACUCAGGAGGAGGGGACAGAUUACAAACAAAGAAGUAAAUAAAUGUUAGUGAGGAGGAAGAAAGCAAAGGGGACCAACACUGCCAAGCUCCCGAGGUUGGGGUCUGUGAAAAUGAGUAGCAAAGUUGGAAAUGUCUUAAGACAACGUGACAUUGGAGCAGAAGGCCUGAGUACAGAAGGGACAGGGCCCAGUGGGGCUCCCCAGGCAGAUGAAGCAGCCAGCUUGAAGGCCCAGAUGAUGACACCUUGAGGAGGGGGUUGGGCAAGUGGAACCACCCGGAACCACAAUAACUCUGUGGAACCACAGAGAUAAUGUGAAGGCGAGACCCUGAGGACUGUGCAGGGAGCAGACAAACCAGUUGGGAGGAAGGUGGUGGAUUCAUUCACUUUGUGGAUUACACAGCUUCUUCCUUGCCCUCCCAAGUCAAGCCCAUCGAUUGCUUUUUAACCCCUUCCUGGCUGUGUGCUGCUUCUUUUAAGUGGAGAAAGAGGAAGGGGGAAAAAAGACUGGAUUUCAGCGACUAUGAACUAAGAAGGUUCUAUGAAGAAUGAAUUGAAGCUAUUGGUAGAAAUUAGGGGGGAAAAAUCUAGCUGUAAGGACAGCACAUAAAGACCUGAACUUUUGAGUGGACCCCAGAUGAAUAUGAAUGAAGAGCACAGCUCUCUUUUGCAAAGCUGACACAGGAUGAGGAUGUUCCCGCCAGCGGGCUUCUGCUUGUCAUCCUUUCAAAUGUCAUGGUCAGACCUAGGAAAUUCCCUGGGAAGUCCCCUGCAGUUUGUCCAUUUGAGUAUGAUUCUGUUGGAUCUUGAGAGACUGUUUGAUCUUCAGGAAGCUAUUAUUAUGAAAUAGAUCUUCCUGCAGUGAGGAGACAGAGUGGUACCUGGAGAGAUGAACGGGGUGGAUCGGGAAAUGGGAAUCUGCGUCCUGACUUCAGUCCUGCCCCUACUGGCCUGGUGGCGUGAGGAAAGGCCUGUUUUCCCCUGGUCUCCACGGCUUUGUCUAUACGACGAAACGCCACAGAGAUGGCGAGAGUGAAAGCAGUGGCCAUCGUGAUUGUAAGUGCUCACGAAAUGAUUUCCUUCCUGCCUGCCUACCUCGUUUUCCAUCUGUAAAGUGAGGGAUCGAACUAGAAGAUCUCUGAGGCCCUUCCACUCUAACACUUUGUGGCUUUGUUGACAACACCUUAAAAUGUUCCUGCUAACACUCUGGUGAACCUUGGUGUAUCAGAUUCUAUAUAAUCAUAGUGUUGGCUGACAUAGUGUUGUCAUUUUGACUUUAAGUAUUAGAAUUAUUUUCCCUUCUCCUGAUUUUUAACUCAAAUUUUCUAUUUUAUGGCUUUUGCUGGGUUAAGUUGUCACAAAUCCUUCAGACAAUAAGAAAAAGAAAAGUAUAAAAAACCUGGAUGGAAAUAAUGUAUUAACUGAAAGCCAGGAAAUAAGAUGAAUACGAAUACUAACCAAUUGCUUUUACUGGGCACUUACUGUGCAUGAAGAGCCGUGCUAAGCACUUUGUAAGCAUUAGGUCACUUUAUUCUCAUUGUGACCCUGUGAAGCCAUAAUUAUCACCUUCACUUUAUAAAUGAGGAAACAGUAUUAGAGAUAUCAAGCAAGUUGUCCAGGGUCACACAAUUAGUGAGUGGCUGAGCAGAACCACAAAUCCAGGUCUGGCUAAAUCAGAGCAGUGGUGUGCCGACAAACAGACACACACACACACACACACACACGCACGCACACACAAAAAGCAAAAACAAACCCCUAAAUCUUAAUGUGCACCAUUUAUUGAUUUCCAUUCUGUGAAUACUCCCACUGCAGCCAAUUUCAAGUCAUCAACAACUUAAAAUAAGCACAAAAAAUUCCUGAAUAGUUAAUAAUAUGCUCUUGCAAGCUUGUAGAAGCCAAGCCCAAACCUCUCCAAGGACAGCCUGUGUUGAUAAGCACUGGGCAAUACUGUCUCCCUGCAUCAGAGGGUGGGGCUGAUGGAAAAGAAGGAAGAAAGGGGAGAUGGACAGAGAAAGUAAGAAGAAACAGAUUCAUUCAUUCGUUCGUCUAUUCAUGCAUUCCACAAAGCCUUACUGAACACCAGCUUAGUGCUAACCCUUGUGAUCUGUGCUUAGAACUCAGGCAUGAGUCAAAGGAACAGGGUGCCCAAGCCUAAGAAGAUCAGAGUGUGUUGGGGAGAGAGAGACAGGUAAACAAAUAUUUUCAAACAUUAUGCUAUAGAAGCAUGUAUGAGUCUGUGGGAAUCCAGGUGAGGGAGGGACCCAUUCUGCUUGAUGGGCCUGAAGGAUGGAGUUAGGCACAUGUAAUUGGAAGCUUCCAGGUAACAUAACUUUUGCUUUCUUUCCAAUUUAUGGAGUGGCUUCUCUCACUUGAAAGGUGUGCUCAGCUCAGCUGCAUUUCAGAACGAAAUAGAGAAACCAAAGAUGAGGUCAAGAAAGGGACAAUGAGGCAGAAAGUAUGCUCCUUCAGUUAGGAACGUUGUCUGAAGGACCCCUGUAUUCUUCUUCUU